AACGAACGCUGGCGGCAUGCCUAACACAUGCAAGUCGAACGAGACCUUCGGGUCUAGUGGCGCACGGGUGCUUAACGCGUGGGAACCUGCCCUUAGGUUCGGAAUAACUCCCCGAAAGGUGUGCUAAUACCGGAUAAUGUCUUCGGACCAAAGAUUUAUCGCCUUUGGAUGGGCCCGCGUUGGAUUAGCUAGUUGGUAGUGUAAAAGCCUACCAAGGCGACGAUCCAUAGCUGGUCUGAGAGGAUGAUCAGCCACACUGGGACUGAGACACGGCCCAGACUCGUACGGGAGGCAGCAGUGGGGAAUAUUGGACAAUGGGCGAAAGCCUGAUACAGCAAUGCCGCGUGAGUGAUGAAGGCCUUAGGGUUGUAAAGCUCUUUUACCCGGGAUGAUAAUGACAGUACCGGGAGAAUAAGCGCCGGCUAACUACGUG
rnacentral:rRNA from 1 species